AAAAAGAGGAGUGGCGAACGGGUGAGUAACACGUGGGUAACCUGCCCAUCAGAAGGGGAUAACACUUGGAAACAGGUGCUAAUACCGUAUAACAAUCGAAACCGCAUGGUUUUGAUUUGAAAGGCGCUUUCGGGUGUCGCUGAUGGAUGGACCCGCGGUGCAUUAGCUAGUUGGUGAGGUAACGGCUCACCAAGGCCACGAUGCAUAGCCGACCUGAGAGGGUGAUCGGCCACAUUGGGACUGAGACACGGCCCAAACUCCUACGGGAGGCAGCAGUAGGGAAUCUUCGGCAAUGGACGAAAGUCUGACCGAGCAACGCCGCGUGAGUGAAGAAGGUUUUCGGAUCGUAAAACUCUGUUGUUAGAGAAGAACAAGGAUGAGAGUAACUGUUCAUCCCUUGACGGUAUCUAACCAGAAAGCCACGGCUAACUACGUGCCAGCAGCCGCGGUAAUACGUAGGUGGCAAGCGUUGUCCGGAUUUAUUGGGCGUAAAGCGAGCGCAGGCGGUUUCUUAAGUCUGAUGUGAAAGCCCCCGGCUCAACCGGGGAGGGUCAUUGGAAACUGGGAGACUUGAGUGCAGAAGAGGAGAGUGGAAUUCCAUGUGUAGCGGUGAAAUGCGUAGA
rnacentral:rRNA from 1 species